GUCUUAAUAGUUUAAAAAAGCGCUAUUUUGUGGAAAUAGAGAUACGGCCCGUUUAAGGCA
rnacentral:tRNA from 1 species